AGGGUAUAGACCCGAAACCCGGUGAUCUAGCCAUGGGCAGGUUGAAGGUUGGGUAACACUAACUGGAGGACCGAACCGACUAAUGUUGAAAAAUUAGCGGAUGACCUGUGGCUGGGGGUGAAAGGCCAAUCAAACCGGGAGAUAGCUGGUUCUCCCCGAAAGCUAUUUAGGUAGCGCCUCGUGAAUUCAUCUCCGGGGGUAGAGCACUGUUUCGGCUAGGGGGCCAUCCCGGCUUACCAACCCGAUGCAAACUGCGAAUACCGGAGAAUGUUAUCACGGGAGACACACGGCGGGUGCUAACGUCCGUCGUGAAGAGGGAAACAACCCAGACCGCCAGCUAAGGUCCCAAAGUCAUGGUUAAGUGGGAAACGAUGUGGGAAGGCCCAGACAGCCAGGAUGUUGGCUUAGAAGCAGCCAUCAUUUAAAGAAAGCGUAAUAGCUCACUGGUCGAGUCGGCCUGCGCGGAAGAUGUAACGGGGCUAAACCAUGCACCGAAGCUGCGGCAGCGACACUGUGUGUUGUUGGGUAGGGGAGCGUUCUGUAAGCCUGUGAAGGUGGCCUGUGAGGGUUGCUGGAGGUAUCAGAAGUGCGAAUGCUGACAUAAGUAACGAUAAAGCGGGUGAAAAGCCCGCUCGCCGGAAGACCAAGGGUUCCUGUCCAACGUUAAUCGGGGCAGGGUGAGUCGACCCCUAAGGCGAGGCCGAAAGGCGUAGUCGAUGGGAAACGGGUUAAUAUUCCCGUACUUGGUGUUACUGCGAAGGGGGGACGGAGAAGGCUAUGUUGGCCGGGCGACGGUUGUCCCGGUUUAAGCGUGUAGGCUGGUUUUCCAGGCAAAUCCGGAAAAUCAAGGCUGAGGCGUGAUGACGAGGCACUACGGUGCUGAAGCAACAAAUGCCCUGCUUCCAGGAAAAGCCUCUAAGCAUCAGGUAACAUCAAAUCGUACCCCAAACCGACACAGGUGGUCAGGUAGAGAAUACCAAGGCGCUUGAGAGAACUCGGGUGAAGGAACUAGGCAAAAUGGUGCCGUAACUUCGGGAGAAGGCACGCUGACA
rnacentral:rRNA from 1 species